CUGUAAAUUCUACCAUCACUCAAGUGCGGGCCUUCAGCAAAUAAUGUGCUUUUACAGAUCUGUGAAAUGAGCUCAGUCGCUCUUGCGGUGACGGUUUACAGAAAACGUAAAACAUCUGACUUGCGUUUGAUCUGUAAAUGCACUGAUACUCACCUAUGUCGACUGAAACGAAACAAAAUAUCUAUGUUGUAUUAAUUGUACCUUUGCUUUUACAAAUGACUCAUCCACACUGAAUUAUGGAAGACCAAACAUCUCCUGUUCGUGAACAGCACAUGUUCAACAUUGUCAAUCUUCAGCGACAAUGUUGGAAAGACAUAAGGAGUGUCCAACAAUGACAAGCUCACUGUCAGACAAUGCAGGUGUACCCACUCCUGAGGAGCUGAUCUCCAUCUACUGCCGGGGGAUGCCAUCCUCUGCCUCAGCUCAACUUCUACCUGGCCCUCUCUGUCUUUAAGAUGGCAGGGAACGCUCAGGGCAUCUAUGUCCGCCACCUCCUGGGCAAUGCCAGUGCUCCGAAUGCUGCCCAGUUUGGCCAGAGUGUGGAGCCGUUGGCCCAGGUUGGGAUGCAGAUUGCAGAAAGGUAUUUUGGUUCACGUGAUACGAAAACUACACCCUAUCAUCGCAUUAUUGUGUGUGUGUGUGUGUGUGUGUGUGUGUGUGUGUGUGUGUGUGUGUGUGUGUGUGUGUGUGUGUGUGUGUGUGUGUGUGUGUGUGUGUGUG